rnacentral:rRNA from 1 species
UACGUAGGGUCCGAGCGUUGUCCGGAAUUACUGGGCGUAAAGAGCCCGUAGGUGGUUUGUCGCGUUGUUCGUGAAAACUCACAGCUUAACUGUGGGCGUGCGGGCGAUACGGGCAGACUAGAGUACUGCAGGGGAGACUGGAAUUCCUGGUGUAGCGGUGGAAUGCGCAGAUAUCAGGAGGAACACCGGUGGCGAAGGCGGGUCUCUGGGCAGUAACUGACGCUGAGGAGCGAAAGCGUGGGGAGCGAACAGG